UGUGUGUGUCUAUCUCUGUCCAAACUUCCCCUUUUUAUAAGGACAACAUUCAUAUUGGAUUAGGGUCCACCCUAAUGACCUCACUUUAAUUCGGCUACUCUAUAAAGACCACAACCCUAAAUAAGGUCACACUCUAAAGUACUGGGGGUUAGAACUUCAACACAUGAACUUGCAGGGGAGACACAAUUCAACCCAUAGCACCACCCUGGAAGCUGGAGAACAAGGAAAGAAACAGUUUCUGGAGCCUAAGACAAGAUAAGCUGGAACAAAGAGGGCCUGCCAAGAUGGGUAGCAGGGAUCACACAGAGAUGGCUGUGUAGUGGGAACUGCAGCCACAGAAGAGACUCCUGAGAAAGAGAAGCAGGAGAAGUACUCUGGCUUCUCCUUCCUUCACCUCCAAUAUCUUUUGCCCUCCCUCACUCCCCAUUGGCUGAACUUUACUGGAAGGCAGUUGGCUCUGGAGCCUGGAACAGCCCCCAGUGACACAGAGCAGAUCGGGGGACCACGGGAUGGGAAGGGUGGACAUGGCUCUGACAGCAACAAUGUAACACCCAUGCAACGAGUCUGCGAGGCCGAAUGGAAGCCAGCUGGCUGCAGGGGAGAGAGCAAGAGAGUCUGGCAGAAGGUGCACCUGGAGAAGGAAGUAGAGGCCAGGCCAGGAAACUACAGAGGCCCUUUGGUGCUCCCCAGCUCUCCUUGUUUUCCUGUUUCUAAGCAUCUGAGUGCAUCCUGAUAGCUGUGGACAGCAGAGAUUUGGAACAGGAGAUUGAAGAAGUCUCAUCUACUGCCAUGCUUGGCACAUAGUAGGCACUCAACACAUGCUAGACUCUCCCCACCUCCUGUUGCUUCUUGGCACCAGGCUUCACUCUGGACAAGAGUUAACAUCUCAUCCUUUACCCAUGUCUUCUUUGACUGAACAUCUCGCUAUUAGUGGGAGAUGGGUCAAAGAAGUAUUCACUCAUCCUUUCAUCCAACAAUACUGACAGAGCACCUGCCCUGUGCCAGGCUCAGCCAGAGGCUGGAGAUAAAGACAUGAAUGAGACCCCUGGUGACGGGUGAGAGACAAAGCAAAGGGCUCAUUUCCAUAGAGGAUGAUGGGGAUUCACAUAUGGGGUUGGGCAAGGCACACAAUAGAGCAGGGUGAUAUGGUUGGCUUUGUGUCCCCACCCAAAUCUCGUCUUGAAUUGUAGUUACCAUAAUCCCCAUGUGUCAUAGGAGGGACCUGGUGGGAGGUAAUUGAAUCAUGGAAAUGGUUUCCACCAUGCUGUUCUUGUGAUAGUGAGUGAGUUCUCAUGAGAGCUGAUGGUUUUAUAAGGGGCUUUUCCCCUCUUCACAUUGGACUACUCUCUCCUGCUGCCACGUGAAGAAGGCCAUGUUUGCUUCCCCUUCUGCCAUGACUAUAAGUUUCCUGAGGCCUCCCCAGCCAUGUGAAACUGUAAGUCAAUUAAAUCUUUUUUAAAUAAAUUACCCAUUCUUGGGUAUGUUCUUAUAGCAGCAUGAGAAUGAACUAAUACACAGGGUGACAUGAGAAGGCUUCCUGGGAGACAGUGCCUGAGCUGAUCUCUGAUGAGAAAGUAAGAGGAGGACAUUCCAGGUACAGGGAACAACAUGUGCAAACACACAAGGCUGAAGUAAACAAACAGGAAGCUGUGAAAAAGGACAGUGAUGAAUGACUAGCCCAACAGGGUAAUUUUGACCCCCAGGGUACAUUUGGCAACAACUGGAGACUUUUUGUUUGCUUUCCACAAUUGUGUGUGUGUGCAUGUAUGCACAUGUGUGUGCAAGUGUCUGCUACUGGCAUCUAAUAGGUAGAGGUCAGGGAUGCUGCCGAACAUCCUACAGUGCACAAGAUAGCCCCCCAUGACAAAGAAUUAUAUCUGGCCCAAGAUGUUGAGAAACCCUGGACUAGAACAACAAACAUAAAAACAUAUUAUAGUACUUUGACAAUUAAAACUUCAUAGUACUAGCACAUGAAUAGAUA
rnacentral:lncRNA from 1 species